rnacentral:lncRNA from 1 species
ACAGGACCAGUAGAUCUGAUCCACAACCACAGAAUCGCCCACAUGAGUGGGCACAUGAACAGGAGUGCCCAAAGGCAAGGAGAAAUAGCCAGGAAACAAGCAAACAGAGAUGAUACAUAUGAAUAGGUGGAUCCUGGAUCAAAUAAUACCGAAGCAUCUAUCAUGCAGAUAGAAAUAAUACAUGUGAUGACGGCAUCUGAGGCCAAUACAUCUGGCCUAGCCGGAAGGGCAUAGACUCUUGCUGGAGCACUGGCGGGCUAGCCUCCACCUAACUGAGCAAUAAUUGGCUGACCUCUCCCUAUCUGGCCUUUACCUUUAGGAUGGCCUCUACUAGUCUACCCCCUACCUCUAGACGGUUGGACAAUCGGUGCUAAAAUCAUAGGCUAUUGGCCAUGUUGUACUGCCUGCCCUGAUGCCUGGGGCAGGCCCUAUUCAUGUGACCUAGAUCUCCACACUCAUAGCAAACUCUUAGCACCAUAGCCUACUACCCUGAAGUCUGAGCUUGCCAACCCGACUACCCACUAGGAGAACCCUAAAUGGCUGGUGGAUGAUAUGAACUCUCUGGCAUGGCACUGAAGUAAGCACCAGAAGAACCUUGAUGACCAGAAUACCCACUAGAGGAAUAUUGAAUAGCUGGUGGAUGGUAAGAAAUCUCUGGCAUCGCACUGUAAUAAGGCCUCACUGGAGCACCUUGCUAGGCAGUGGUGGUGCUUAAUGCAGGGGCCUGCUGGACUGACCCCUCCCAGAGUGCCCCUUACCCCUAGCUUGGGCACCUUUAAACUCUCCAGAAAACCAGUUCCUCUUGUCCUGCUGAAACUUCUCUCCACCCCUCUUGUGAUAACCCUCAAUCUUGCGAGCAAUCUCCACCACUAGCCGAUACUCAGUACCCAUCUCCACCACUCGGGCCAUGCUAGAUUGAAUACUGGGGUGACACCCCGUAACAAAUCUCUACACUCUAUCUACAUCUGUAGGACGUAUCAUGAGUGCAUGGCGAGACAACUCAGAAAACCUCACCUCAUAAUCGAUCACGGACAUCUGACCCUGCUUAAG